UACGUAGGGUCCGAGCGUUAAUCGGAAUUACUGGGCGUAAAGCGUGCGCAGGCGGUUUUGUAAGCCAGAUGUGAAAGCCCCGGGCUUAACCUGGGAAUGGCAUUUGGGACUGCAAGGCUGGAGUACGGCAGAGGGAGGUGGAAUUCCAGGUGUAGCAGUGAAAUGCGUAGAUAUCGGGAGGAACACCAGUGGCGAAGGCGACUUCCUGGCCUGUUCUUGACGCUGAGGCGCGAAAGCUAGGGGAGCAAACGGG
rnacentral:rRNA from 1 species